CCACCAGGUCACUCCCCCCAGCUACAGGUACCACCACCACCAGAUCACUCCCCCCAGCUACAGGUCCCUCCACCAGGUCACUCCCCCAAGCUACAGGUACCACCACCAGGUCACUUCCCCCAGCUACAGGUACCACCACCAGGUCACUUCCCCCAGCUACAGGUACCACCACCACCAGGUCACUUCCCCCAGCUACAGGUACCACCACCAGCAGGUCACUUCCCCCAGCUACAGGUACCACCACCAGCAGGUCACUUCCCCCAGCUACAGGUACCACCAGCAGGUCACUUCCCCCAGCUACAGGUACCACCACCAGCUCACUCCUCCCAGCUACAGGUACCACCACCAGCAGGUCACUUCCCCCAGCUACAGGUACCACCAGCAGGUCACUUCCCCCAGCUAC